GAUUCCUCUAGGGAUUUCUCCAGGAAUUCUUCCUAGGUUUCCGACAGGAAUUUGUCCAGAUGUUAUAACGGGGCCAGCCUGUCGCGCUUCCGUUAAUGGUUGGAUGGCUUAUGCGCCACUCCGUUAGGAGACCAUCCAACAAAGAUAGCGUUGCCCGGCUUGAGACCUUCUUAAGGGAAGGGUCAGUUUUCUUGAUGGGUAAGCUGACUGGCUGACUCUAAUAAGGUCGUCGUACUUCUCGUUACCGAGGGGAUACGACGAACUCCAACGAAAAUUACAAAUAAAUCCCUCCAAUAUUCGGCCGAGAACAAGCCACCAGUGCGGGGGUUUUCUUCACGGGCCCAGUCCAAAAAGUUCACCUGUCCCAGUCCACGGAAGACUAGAGAACUGUCCAAAAUCGGAUUUGGGCCGACUACCCAGUAGACUACACAAAAUACUCAAAAACUCUACAAAACGAACGCGAAGCAACAUAUAUCCUUAAUAAACAUCAACUAAAGUACAUUAAACUACAUAGAGCAUUUCUCACCGUGUCUCGGCUCAAACUACAAAAUUUCGGUCGGUAACAAUUAUAAUGUUCGACCUUCCGACCUUGCUCAUGGGGACAACAUACAUGGGAUACCAAACUACAAGAGACUCUGUUUACAAACGAUACAUGGAUUUAUUCUCAACUUUCACUUUCAUUUCCUACACGGGGAAUCGAAAUCACUCAAAAUCAAGUUAAAAAGUACGCAAAAAGCAGUACUUCUGGAAGACUACCGGAAUGGAUACUUUUCGGUUCUUGUUUUUAAAUACAUUUUACUCAAUGUACCUCUAAUCCGACACAACUGGCUUUUGGGUAAAUUGAGACUUGACAUUUUCUUUUAUUUUGCUUCCCGCACAGAGAGUAUCCAAAAUCGAGAGUUGAAAAUGUACUCGGUUUUGGAUGAAAAUUUAUUUCGUAAAUAUGGCGCUCGUUGUGUUCAACUGGAUGUGUGAAUUAUUAAGUAAUUGGAGCAGGAAUUGGAGGACACCCGUACCUACGCCAAGCUAAAAUUCAAGAAUAUUCACACCUACGGAUUUUACUCUGGAAUGGAAGCCAAAUGACGGAGCAGUAAGGGUAUUAAUUUUUUAUAACAUAUUAAAAAUUGUUGUUGAAUGUAACUCCAAUCUCCUCCACUAAACAGCGUAUUCCCAAUGAUGGCCUCAACGGAAGUAAUCAAGUGCCCAAUUCCAGCAGCAGCAACAUCCGAGAGAGCGACGUUCGAAACCCAGGAAGCAUUGUAAUAAUCAAUAAGUGUUAGAUAUAACAUGUUUGCCAUCAUAUGUAAAGCGUUUCUGCAGGAUCGAAUAAAGUCAUUUAAUUUAAGUGUCAGUUGUCCUAUUAAAUCAAAGAAAAUCUCAAUUUUAUCGAAUAAUCUAGCUCCACCAUUUUACUCAAUUUUGAGUAGUUUUUAUCCAACGAUCACUGAAUGCGAAACAGUUAAAUUCACUCAAAGCGGAGUUCUUGUGAAAUAACUCAAUUUUGGGUUUUUUGGAAAUAACUCAAAUUUGACUGGUUUUACUUAGCUGUCAAGUUGGAUGAAAAAGACCUAAUUUUGAGUUUUUUCAUUUCCCCGUGUAG